rnacentral:rRNA from 1 species
UGCCAGCAGCCGCGGUAAUUCCAGCUCAAUAGCGUAUAUUAAGUGUUGCAGUUAAAAGCUCGUAGUUGAAUUUCGGGUUAGUAGGUUGUCAUGCCUCUGGUAUGUACUGGUCUCACUGAUUCCUCCUUCCUGAUGAGCCGUAAUGCCAUUAAUUUGGUGUUGCGGGAAUUUGGACUGUUACUUGAAAAAUUAGAGUGUUUAAAGCAAGCUAACGCUUGAAUACAUUAGCAUGGAAUAAUGAAAUAGGACGUUCGAUCCUAAUUUUGUUGGUUUCUAGGAUUGACGUAAUGAUUAAUAGGGAUAGUUGGGGGCAUUAGUAUUCAAUUGUCAGAGGUGAAAUUCUUGGAUUUAUUGAAGACUAACUACUGCGAAAGCAUUUGCCAAGGAUGUUUUCAUUAAUCAAGAACGAAAGUUAGGGGAUCGAAGACGAUCAGAUACCGUCGUAGUCUUAACCAUAAACUAUGCCGACUAGGGAUCGGAUGAUGUUAAUUUUUAAUGACUCAUUCGGCGCCUUACG